CUCAGGUGUGGACUUCCGCUCACCUGCCAGACGCAACUUCGUCGUGUUUCCACAGGACAGCAGACCUUCAACACGGGACAACUAUCGUCAGCUGAGACCAGGACACAAACAUUUCUCCAGAGAUCGAUGGAGACAACUGUGGUAAUGGCCUUAACAGCCAAGCAUGGAGGGCGAUCAGUGGCCAUUGAUCCGAGCGGCUGGGGAACCGAUGUAUGUCCGAGUUAAAGGAAUGCAGUGGUUCUUAGAGGGACACUCGACUAAACAAAGCCUCGUCUUCUCUGUCGACAUGUCUAAGAGGUGUGCAGAUGACGUCGUCUGACAUUGGCUUCAAGAUAGAUGCCUCCAGUCCACUACAAAGAGAUGGAUGUCAGCUGAUAUCUGGGUCGACUGUAUUGUCUACUAUAGCGCUGACAUUCUCCUGGAGCAGAUGGUGCCGACUGAGAACAUGAACGCUGCCAUGCCCUUGGAUGGGACAGGAAAUCUCUCUUCCCCUCAUUUCCCUUGAUUGCCUUUUUUGUUCCUCUUGUCCUCCUUUUUUUUUAUCUCUCCACUCCCUCUCUUCUGCUACCUUUUCGUUUCUUCAGUUCUUUUUUAAAUGAACCUUGGGGGCCUGCAAGAGAAAUCUUGGAUGCGGCUUUACUUGUUUACAGCACAGCGCUCUUUUAUAAGAAAGUGUUAUGCUAAUAAACCCACG